UAGUCCACGCCCUAAACGAUGCUUACUGGAUGUGUGUUAAUGUUAUGCGCAUCUGAGGGAAACCAUUAAGUAAGCCACCUGGGGAGUACGUCGGCAACGAUGAAACUCAAAGGAAUUAACGGGGACCCGCACAAGCGGUGGAUGAUGUGGAUUAAUUCGAUGCAACGCGAAAAACCUUACCUACACUUGACAUGUCAGGAACUUUCCAGAGAUGGAUUGGUGCUCGAAAGAGAACCUGAACACAGGUGCUGCAUGGCUGUCGUCAGCUCGUGUCGUGAGAUGUUGGGUUAAGUCCCGCAACGAGCGCAACCCUUAUCCUUAGUUGCUACGCAAGGGCACUCUAAGGAGACUGCCGGUGACAAACCGGAGGAAGGUGGGGAUGACGUCAAGUCCUCAUGGCCCUUAUGUGUAGGGCUUCACACGUCAUACAAUGGUCGGUACAGAGGGUCGCCAAGCCGCGAGGUGGAGCUAAUCCCAGAAAACCGAUCGUAGUCCGGAUCGUAGU
rnacentral:rRNA from 1 species